GAUGAACGCUGGCGGCGUGCCUAAUACAUGCCAGUCGAGCGAACAGACGAGGAGCUUGCUCCUCUGACGUUAGCGGCGGACGGGUGAGUAACACGUGGAUAACCUACCUAUAAGACUGGGAUAACUUCGGGAAACCGGAGCUAAUACCGGAUAAUAUAUUGAACCGCAUGGUUCAAUAGUGAAAGACGGUUUUGCUGUCACUUAUAGAUGGAUCCGCGCCGCAUUAGCUAGUUGGUAAGGUAACGGCUUACCAAGGCGACGAUGCGUAGCCGACCUGAGAGGGUGAUCGGCCACACUGGAACUGAGACACGGUCCAGACUCCUACGGGAGGCAGCAGUAGGGAAUCUUCCGCAAUGGGCGAAAGCCUGACGGAGCAACGCCGCGUGAGUGAUGAAGGUCUUCGGAUCGUAAAACUCUGUUAUUAGGGAAGAACAAAUGUGUAAGUAACUACGCACGUCUUGACGGUACCUAAUCAGAAAGCCACGGCUAACUACGUG
rnacentral:rRNA from 1 species